AGUAAUUCCGAAAACGCUUUGUCUCGGCAAUGAUGUCUAGGAAGUAGAAAGCCUGAAGUGAGGUAGAAUUUUACUGAGAACUUAACUUGGGUUCUACCAGUUUUCUGGUGGAGAUCCCUUGGGGGCUAGUUUAAGUCUGUUUUUCAGGCUUGGGUUAGUCCUAAUUCCUGCCUGCGCUCAAAUCCAUGGGCGUGGCCCGAUUGGCUUGAACUUCAUUGGAGUUAAUCGAACCUUGUUCUGGGUUCUAGCAUAAAAGGUGAUGAUAGAAACACUGCUGAAACUUUACUUACGCUGUUUGUCACUAGGGUUGACCUGCAGCCUCUGCGUGCUGAAGAUUAGUGUUUUUAUCCUACCCCACCCUUUAGGGGGUGGGCAUGCAAGUCGUCAUUUAUAGCUAUUAUCUAUGUUCUUGUGUUGACUAGAUUCUCCUUUGGUUGUUCAGAUUGCACCCGAAAAACCUCUGUCCUGAGUAAGGGUCACCGAUACUGGUGAAAUCCGAAUGUUCCAUCCAUCCAGGUUGGGUAACAUUUUUUGGUCACCUUUUAUUCGGAAAACUAAGGCAUUAUUGUUUUGAUGAUUUUUCGGGUACCGAUGGAAAAUCGACAAAUUUCACAAUUUUUUUUUUCCUAAGCAAUCCAGGCCUUUUUUGAUCGAUUUUAAAAAUCACCCCAAAAAGGAUCGGGUUCCAAAAUUUUUCUGUUAGCAGGGAUUCCAGAAUAACGUCCGAUGGACGGAGCUAGCGGAAUACCCCCGACUCUCUCCGUUACUAAUCAUACUUUAUACUAAAAUUAUCAACAAAAGUUUUGAAAAGUAAUUUUG
rnacentral:rRNA from 1 species